rnacentral:sRNA from 1 species
AGCCUUGUUUUAUAAUAGUUUUUGUAGAAAAGUGAAAAGUGGUGGCUAGUCCCAAUAGAAAUGGGGUGACGCCUAUGUUGAUUUGUGGCUUGAUCCCUAGAAGGGAGUAGGCAUGUCUGUUUAUCAAGCAUUGUCGCUAAUGAUUGCAUUUGCAACGUUAGUCUUGCUUAUUGCAGAUUACAA